rnacentral:tRNA from 1 species
UAUUCUGUGGCUUAGUUGGUUAAAGCGCCGAUCUAACGCAUACAGAGUCGUGGGUUCGAAUCUCUCCAGAACGU